rnacentral:rRNA from 1 species
GAUGAACGCUGGCGGCGUGCCUAAUACAUGCAAGUCGAGCGAACGGACGAGAAGCUUGUUUCUCUGAUGUUAGCGGCGGACGGGUGAGUAACACGUGGAUAACCUACCUAUAAGACUGGGAUAACUUCGGGAAACCGGAGCUAAUACCGGAUAAUAUUUUGAACCGCAUGGUUCAAAAGUGAAAGACGGUCUUGCUGUCACUUAUAGAUGGAUCCGCGCUGCUUUAGCUAGUUGGUAAGGUAACGGCUUACCAAGGGAACGAUGCAUAGCCGACCUGAGAGGGUGAUCGGCCACACUGGAGCGGAGACACGGUCCAGAGUCCUACGGGAGGCAGCAGAAGGGAAUCUUCCGCAAUGGGCGGAAACCUGACGGAGCAGCGCCGCGUGAGUGAUGAAGGUCUUCGGAUCGGAAAGCUCUGUUAUUAGGGAAGAACAUAUGUGUAAGUAACUGUGCACAUCUUGACGGUACCUAAUCAGAAAGCCACGGCUAACUACGUG